ACGCUGGCGGGUGCCUACACAUGCAAGUCGAGAGGUAACAGGUGUAGCAAUACAUGCUGACGAGCGGCGAACGGGUGAGUAAUGCUUCGGAAUCUGCCCAAUGGUGGGGAAUAACCAGCCGAAAGGUUGGCUAAUACCGCAUAAGUCCUACGGGGGAAAGCAGGGGAUCGCAAGACCUUGCGCCGAUGGAUGAGCCGAAGUCGGAUUAGCUAGUUGGUAGGGUAACGGCCUACCAAGGCGACGAUCCGUAGCUGGUCUGAGAGGACGACCAGCCACACUGGGACUGAGACACGGCCCAGACUCCUACGGGAGGCAGCAGUGGGGAAUAUUAGACAAUGGGGGAAACCCUGAUCCAGCGACGCCGCGUGUGCGAAGAAGGCCUGCGGGUUGUAAAGCACUUUUAGUGGGGAUGAAAAGCUCAGGGCUAAUACCUCUGGGUCUUGACCUAACCCAAAGAAAAAGCACCGGCUAACUCUGUGCCAGCAGCCGCGGUAAUACAGAGGGUGCGAGCGUUAAUCGGAAUUACUGGGCGUAAAGCGUGCGUA
rnacentral:rRNA from 1 species